GAAGGUGGUAGGUGCAUGUCCGACAUAAACAAUUCAGAUAGGAAACUACCUGAGGAGCCAUGUGUCUCUCAUACCCAUUGCAGUGUGUGUGUUUGUGUGUUUACGUUUAUCUGUCUAUCUUUGGGUGGGGUGUGGAAAAGAAGAAGAUCCACCUGGUUCAGCUGUGUAAUAGCAGAACUCUUACCCCCGUUGGAAUUAUGGUCAUUGUAGGAAGGAAAAGAGUUAUGUGAUUGCAUCUGGUUUUUCACAGUUGCAGGUGAGGUGGUGAAUAUCCUGAAUAAGUGCCUGGAUGCAGUAAUGCACUGGAUGAGCGUGAACAAGUUUAGACUCAAUCCAUACAAGACAGAAGUACUGUUGGUUGGUGGUUCCUCUGCCUGAGGGAAUGAUGUUCAGCUUGUUCUAGAUGGGUUUGCACUCCCCCUAAAGGAUCAGGUUCACGAUCUGGGGUGCUCAUCGAUCCAGCACUAUUGCUAGAGGCUCAAAUGGCCUCUGUGACCCAGUGAGGUUCGCCUGGCACCAUCACUUUGUUCUUUUACAAACCAGGUCACUGUUGUACACCUUUAUACAGCUGCCAAGAUCUGUAUUGCUAGACUAUGAAAAAGAGCUCAACAUAUGCCUUCCUCCUCCAUCAAUGGAUGGAGAAUAUUUGGCAAUUGAUUAUUAUGAACAGGUUCUCUCAACAAGUUAAGCAGGCUAGAAACCCAGCUUUGAAAAAUACAAUGGCAAUCUGACGGUCUUUUAUAUAUUAUAGUGAAGCUCUCAACCCAGGCAAGCAUGUAUCUGCUAGAUACAAAUGCUGUAUUUCUAAUUUGCUGUAGUUAUUGUAAUUGUCCUAUCUUUUUCUUUC